AGUGAACGCUGGCGGUAGGCCUAACACAUGCAAGUCGAACGGCAGCACAGUAAGAGCUUGCUCUUACGGGCGGCGAGUGGCGGACGGGGGAGGAAUACAUCGGAAUCUACUUUUUCGUGGGGGAUAACGUAGGGAAACUUACGCUAAUACCGCAUACGACCUACGGGUGAAAGCAGGGGAUCUUCGGACCUUGCGCGAUUGAAUGAGCCGAUGUCGGAUUAGCUAGUUGGCGGGGUAAAGGCCCACCAAGGCGACGAUCCGUAGCUGGUCUGAGAUGAUGAUCAGCCACACUGGAACUGAGCCACGGCCCAGACUCCUACGGGAGGCAGCAGUGGGGAAUAUUGGACAAUGGGCGCAAUCCUGAUCCAGCCAUACCGCGUGGGUGAAGAGGGCCUUCGGGUUGGAAAGCCCUUUUUUUGGGAAAGAAAAGCAGCAGGUUAAUACCCCGCUGUUCUGACGGUACCCAAAGAAUAAGCACCGGCUAACUUCGUG
rnacentral:rRNA from 1 species